CAAUAGCGUAUAUUAAAGUUGUUGCAGUUAAAAAGCUCGUAGUUGGAUUUCUGAUCGAGACAUCAGGUCGGGUCCGAGAGGAUCAUGUACUUUGAUUUUGUUUUGAUCAUCCUUGGGGAGAGCAUUUCUGGCAUUCAGUUGUCGGGAUUGGGAUCCUCAUCGUUUACUGUGAAAAAUUAGAGUGUUCAAAGCAGGCCUCGGCCUCUGAAUACAUUAGCAUGGAAUAAUAAGAUAGGACUUUGGUGGUCUAUUUUGUUGGUUUGCACGCCAAAGUAAUGAUUAAUAGGGAUAGUUGGGGGUGUUCGUAUUCAAUUGUCAGAGGUGAAAUUCUUGGAUUUAUGGAAGACGAACUACUGCGAAAGCAUUUACCAAGGAUGUUUUCAUUAA
rnacentral:rRNA from 1 species